rnacentral:rRNA from 1 species
AGUGAACGCUGGCGGUAGGCCUAACACAUGCAAGUCGAACGGCAGCACAGUAAGAGCUUGCUCUUACGGGUGGCGAGUGGCGGACGGGUGAGGAAUACAUCGGAAUCUACUUUUUCGUGGGUGAUAACGUAGGGAAACUUACGCUAAUACCGCAUACGACCUACGGGUGAAAGCAGGGGAUCUUCGGACCUUGCGCGUUUGAAUGAGCCGAUGUCGGAUUAGCUAGUUGGCGGGGUAAAGGCCCACCAAGGCGACGAUCCGUAGCUGGUCUGAGAGGAUGAUCAGCCACACUGGAACUGAGACACGGUCCAGACUCCUACGGGAGGCAGCAGUGGGGAAUAUUGGACAAUGGGCGCAAGCCUGAUCCAGCCAUACCGCGUGGGUGAAGAAGGCCUUCGGGUUGUAAAGCCCUUUUGUUGGGAAAGAAAAGCAGCAGGUUAAUACCCCGCUGUCCUGACGGUACCCAAAGAAUAAGCACCGGCUAACUUCGUG